GGGGUUGUGGCUCAGUGGUAGAGCCCUUGGCUAGCACAUGUAAGGUUCUGGGUUCAAUCCCCAGCAAUCAUA
rnacentral:tRNA from 1 species